UAAAUUUACUUUAUAAAGGUUUGGAGAAACAUUUCACACUAAACUGCUGUUAGGACUUUAUAUGAGGUGAAUGUUAGAGAACAAACCCACAAAUCUAAUUUAUUACAUCUAAGUGUUAAUUAUGUCUAAAGCGGGAAAGAGAUUUACUGUCAGUUUACUAAACUUCUUUCUUAAAUGACAGAAACCAAACAGGAAGUAGGGCUGACCAAUAAAUCAAUAACAAUACAUAUAUCAAUAGACAUACGAUCAAUAUCAAUUAAUAUGUCUGAUAGAAUAUUUCACAGAACUCUGAUCCAGAACUGCACAGCAUUCUGGGAGAUGUAGGCAGAGGAAAAGCUUUAGCUGCUCAACCUCUCAGCAAUAGCUAAGCUAGCAGGUAGCAUCAACUCACUCUGGAGAACCCUAACCCUUUCAACACAUCACCUUGUUCCUGGAAGGUCACCUGAUCUCCAGGUGAGCCUGUUCACCUGUAGGCUGAGGACAGGAAGUAAACAAUGGAGGCUCCGCCUUCAGGAAGUUCCUGAUCCUUGAGUCUCCCUGUGAGUCAGCGCUCAGCUGGAAGCCGCCCUGCAGGAUGUUUUCAGGUUGAGUCGGAUCAGAACCAGUGGGAGGAGUGAGACCUCCUCUUUUGGAGGAUCUUUGAUGGUCUCUGUCUGCAGGUAUCUGAUUGGCUCUCCCGUCGGUCCAGUCCAAUCCCCUUUAUGUUCCUCAGGGAGGUUCUGACCAGAGCAGCGACCCGUUAAAACCGGUCCAACAGCAGAACCGCCGCCGCCCGAUCACACCUACAGCUGACUCACCCGAGUCACGUGAGCGGACCUGAACCCGACCUGCUUCCAGUUCUGCUGGGUGGAACCACAGGAAGCAGGAAGCAGGAAACAGGAAGUAGCUCUGAGAAGCAGGAAAUAAAAACAAGAGUCUUCCUGGUUCUGCUAAAACAAACCAACCCUGCGACCCGGUCCAGCUGUAAUUAACACCCAGACUGACCAGAACCGCUCCGACAGAUCAGAACCAGUUCUCCGGCUUCCCGAGGUUCUUCUCGUCACAACCAGAACCAGAAUAUUUCAGAUGAAGGUUUGUUUAUUUAGAUGAAUAUUCGGGGAAAAGUGUGGCAGUAAAACCAGGAAGACACGGGCCUCAGCAGAACCUCCAGCAGAACCUCCUGACCCGUGUUCGCUGAAGCCUCAUCAGAACCUGCUCAGUAAUGGAACAGAACCAGGCCUUCAGCAGGUCCAACAGAACCUCAGAACCAGAUCGUGAGACCAUCCACUCUGACCAGAACCUGUCAGGUUCCAACAUAUGAACGUUCCCAUGGCAACGCUGGGAGAAGAUGCACUGCAGGACUAUCUAACCAUAGCUAAGGGUCCGUAGCUGGUUUCCAUGGCUACGGGUUAGUAGUCCUUAGCUGGUUUCCAUGGCCAGCUAAGGUUGUUAACUAGUUUCCUGCUGGGUAACCUGGGCUGCCUCACCAGGAAUCAUUCAACGAGUUUCACUGUAAAGCGUGGGCCCAACACACACCUGGCCUCACACAGGAAAUGAACACCUGGCCUCCAGCUUCAGGCUUCCAGCUUAUGGAGGCUCAGGCUGUGGAGACAGCGCCACCUGGUGGUGCCACCUGUUACAAACACACAAAGGAAAAGAAUUUCUACUUAUUAAUUUAAACUUUGAUUGAAAAAAGUUGUGCUUUUAGAUAUAAAUCUAAGUUUUUCAUUCCAAUCAAGCUGGAGUCUGAAAACAUUCCAACCUGUUUGUGUUUUCAUGUGGAGUCUAAACGAUGUCCAUGGGGCUGCACAGUGGUGCAGUAGGUAGCACUGCUACCUUGCAGCAAGAAUGGGUUCGAUUCCCGGCCCGGGGUCUUUCUGCACGGAGUCUGCAUGUUGUCCCUGCAUGGAUUCUGGGAAAUGUCCUGUUAAAGUAACGUCUUCCAGUCGCUCUGAGUGCUGCUGGACCGUCUGGGUCUCAGGCUGCAUGUUGUUUUCCUGCAGUGGAGCCAGACUUUCUGGACUGAGCCAAAACCCAACGGAGCAACGGCAACAUUUACAGCAACUUCAACCGUUUGGUGGGAUUUGAACCUGCAGCGUGACGGCGGCCUGCGGGUCACACACCGCCUGGAGGAAGUUUUCCUUCAAAACCAAGACACAAAAACAUGUUUGAAUAUAUUUACAUUAUGGGAACAGAGGAAACCUUUUCAUGGUCAACAUCAUAUUUUAACCUCAUGUAAAUAAAAUAAGCUGAUCAGACAAGCAGAGAGCAUUUAGAGGAAGAAGGACAUGAAGCCGGUUUCGAUGUGCAAAAUAAAAUCAAGUAAAUUGAACAAACU